AGAGUUUGAUCCUGGCUCAGGACGAACGCUGGCGGCGCGCCUAACACAUGCAAGUCGAACGGAGAUGAAAAAAGCUUGCUUUGAUCAUCUUAGUGGCGGACGGGUGAGUAACACGUGAGCAACCUGCCUUUCAGAGGGGGAUAACGUUUGGAAACGAACGCUAAUACCGCAUAACGUAUACGGAUGGCAUCGUCUGUAUACCAAAGGAGCAAUCCGCUGAAAGAUGGGCUCGCGUCCGAUUAGCUAGAUGGUGAGGUAAUGGCCCACCAUGGCGACGAUCGGUAGCCGGACUGAGAGGUUGACCGGCCACAUUGGGACUGAGACACGGCCCAGACUCCUACGGGAGGCAGCAGUGAGGGAUAUUGGGCAAUGGGGGAAACCCUGACCCAGCGACGCCGCGUGAGGGAAGACGGUCUUCGGAUUGUAAACCUCUGUCUUUGGGGACGAAAAAGGACGGUACCCAAGGAGGAAGCUCCGGCUAACUACGUGCCAGCAGCCGCGGUAAUACGUAGGGAGCGAGCGUUGUCCGGAAUUACUGGGUGUAAAGGGAGCGUAGGCGGGAAGGCAAGUUGGAUGUGAAAACUGUGGGCUUAACCGACAGACUGCAUUCAAAACUGUUUUUCUUGAGUGAAGUAGAGGCAAGCGGAAUUCCUAGUGUAGCGGUGAAAUGCGUAGAUAUUAGGAGGAACACCAGUGGCGAAGGCGGCUUGCUGGGCUUUUACUGACGCUGAGGCUCGAAAGUGUGGGGAGCAAACAGGAUUAGAUACCCUGGUAGUCCACACCGUAAACGAUGAUUACUAGGUGUGGGGGCGUCAAGCUUCCGUGCCGGAGUUAACACAAUAAGUAAUCCACCUGGGGAGUACGGCCGCAAGGUUGAAACUCAAAUGAA
rnacentral:rRNA from 1 species